rnacentral:rRNA from 1 species
UACGAAGGGGGCUAGCGUUGUUCGGAAUUACUGGGCGUAAAGCGCACGUAGGCGGAUCAGUCAGUCAGGGGUGAAAUCCCGGGGCUCAACCCCGGAACUGCCUUUGAUACUGCUGGUCUGGAGGAUGAGAGAGGCGAGUGGAAUUCCGAGUGUAGAGGUGAAAUUCGUAGAUAUUCGGAGGAACACCAGUGGCGAAGGCGGCUCGCUGGCUCAUUACUGACGCUGAGGUGCGAAAGCGUGGGGAGCAAACAGG